CAUCAAGAGUCGGCAGAGGGAUUGGCCCGAUGACGCCGCAGCAACCUGCUCACAGUAAAGGUGCUAAGUCCAACAGUCGGAAUGACUGGAAGAUG
rnacentral:ncRNA from 1 species